GAGUUUGAUCCUGGCUCAGGAUGAACGCUGGCGGCGUGCCUAACACAUGCAAGUCGAACGAAGCACCUUACCGGAUUCUUCGGAUGAAAGUUUGGUGACUGAGUGGCGGACGGGUGAGUAACGCGUGGGUAACCUGCCCUGUACAGGGGGAUAACAGCUGGAAACGGCUGCUAAUACCGCAUAAGCGCACAGAGCUGCAUGGCUCAGUGUGAAAAACUCCGGUGGUAUAAGAUGGACCCGCGUUGGAUUAGCUAGUUGGUGAGGUAACGGCCUACCAAGGCAACGAUCAGUAGCCGGUCUGAGAGGAUGAACGGCCACAUUGGAACUGAGACACGGUCCAAACUCCUACGGGAGGCAGCAGUGGGGAAUAUUGCACAAUGGGGGAAACCCUGAUGCAGCAACGCCGCGUGAGUGAAGAAGUAUUUCGGUAUGUAAAGCUCUAUCAGCAGGGAAGAUAAUGACGGUACCUGACUAAGAAGCUCCGGCUAAAUACGUGCCAGCCGCCGCGGUAAUAC
rnacentral:rRNA from 1 species